AGAGCUUCACUUUUUUUUUUUUGCAUCUGCUUUUUGUAAUAUGGUUAUUGUUAUAUUACGUUGUUUUUAUGGCUUAUGAAUACAGGAAAACUAAGAAAUACGACUUUUCCAACCUCGAAGUGUCCUUAAGUUGUGUUGUUAUACAAAGGUUGAAAUGAUGUGUCAAUAUAGAUAGAAUUUGUUUUUGUGAAAUCUCUCUGAAUCUGCUGAAUCUUGACAAAUGUUUUGAGCUUGAAAGGGACAAUUCGGCCCUCAUAUAAUUUUAAGAUUCUGGUUAGAUCCUGAUUAGUAGUUUUUUUGAUGAUUGACUAAAAGUGUCAGUCCAGUAAGUUUUUAGUAUUUUCCGAUGCUGAUCAAAUAGUACUUGGGAAGGAGACCUUCAAGGUUAAGGAAGAUAUAUGUGUGUUGUUGGGAGUGAAAGUGUUUCUUUAGUACAGGGAGCAUAAUUAAUAUAUUAAUUUGUGUUGAUAUUUAUCUUUCUACUCUAAAGCGCAAUAAUUUAAGGUAUACUGCCCUCAUUGAAGAAGCAGUCCACUUGCUAAUGAGACAAGAUUGGGCAUGUUCAGGGCAGUAUGGCUAUAGAUCCCACUCGCUGCUUCACAUUUUUCACAGUAGAAUUUUGUGGUUAGUCAGCCUGCCAGGCACAAUGAUGCAUGCCUGUAAUCCCAGCGUUUUGGGAGGCUGAGGAGGGUGGAUUGCUUGAGGCCAGAGUGAGUUUGAGACCGGUCUGGGUGACUUAGUGAGACCCUGUCUCUACAAAAA